AAAUCUAUACAUUUUAUAAUUUAAAACAUGUCUUCUGAGCGUAGGUGUGGACAAAAAAGGAAGAUGAGGUGGUAAAUAACGUGCAGCGGGGUGUAGGUAUCUUUUUCAGCGUGUUCCCCACUCGAAGACUCAAGUGAGUUGUUUGAGCAUCGAAGCAUCAGCGAUUCCCAUGGGUCUAUUUAUUUGAGGCCACCACCAUCUUCAAUCUAGAUAAAAAAAAUUCCACUCUCUUAUGGUUUGUGUAUCUUUGAAGAGAUGAGAGGUAAAGGGAAGCAAAGUUUGGGGAAGGCAUAGACUUGGGGGAGUAGGGAAGAGAAGGUAACCACAAUCUUAAUAUUUAUUGGAUAUUUCAGUCUUGUGUAUCAUACACUCAUUGUUGGAUAUUUCGAGCAACAGAAGCUUGACGAAGCUCUCAAGUAAUUGACUCAGAUGAAGGAUUUUAUUAGUGUCUUCCGCACCAAUCUUGAUGAAUAUCACAAGUUGAUCCACUCUCUUCGCUUGAAGGCCAUGGAUAGGAAAAUUGAAAGAGAUCAACUAGAGGAAUUGAGGCCUAUAGAUAGGAAAAUGGCAAAAGAGCAGCUAUAUGAAAUGAAUCUUAAUAUUAGGGCAUCAGUAUGAUUGGAGGUUCGAAUAUUAAUGCAAAAAUAAUGGAGUGGAAAAAAUAGUAAUUAGGACUUGGGAGUUAGCUAAAUUAUUUAUGUUUUUUUUUAAAUAUAUUAUUAUUAUUAUAUUGAAAUCAGUCUAAGUUGACUAUGUUUUAUGCGUUUGGAUAUACUUUUCCUACACCGAUAGAAAACUACUAAUGUGUUAAAAUGCUUAAUAUUUUUUAAAGCUUCAUACUUACUAAAUUAAACUAUCAUACCCUUAAUUAAUCUUAAUUUAUCUUCAAUCCAAAAUAUGAUCUCAUCACUUCGCUCUCCACCUGUUUGUCCCUCCAAUUUUCUCAAGGUUAAUUUCAUUACUACUUGAUAAAUGUCAUACAUAGUUAGUUGCAUUCCUUGUACAUAGUGAGUUUAUUUAUGUUGAGAAGGUUUAUAGAUUUUACUUC